rnacentral:RNase_P_RNA from 1 species
CCAGGGGGCCGGGCAGCCGCGUCAUAGCUUGCUAUGCCGAGGAAAGUCCGGGCUCCACGAAACAAGGGUGGCGGGUAACGCCCGCCGAGGGCAACCUCAGGGAAAGUGCCACAGAGAGCAGACCGCUCCUUCGACAAGCUCAGGAUGAGCGGACUCGACGGAGUAAGGGUGAAAGGGUGCGGUAAGAGCGCACCGCGCGGCUGGCAACAGGCGCGGCAUGGUAAACCCCACCCGGAGCAAGACCGAAUAGGGGCGGCGCGCCGAGGGCCUUCGGGCCUGACAGCAGAUGUGUUUCGCAUCGACCGCCCGGGUUGGUUGCUUGAGCCAGGCAGCAAUGCCUGGCCUAGAGGAAUGGCUGCCAGUGCGGAUACGGUCUCUUUUGGGAUACCGUCCACGCUACAGAACCCGGCUUACAGGCCCCCUGGCGAA